CUCUCUGACACCAUCGGCUGUUGUUCUCGAGAAGCUGAAAGAAAUAGAUCGCCUUUCUAUUAUCUGUUUAACCUUCAACGAUCAUGCUAAUAACUUUACCAGUCAGCAAACAACCCGAGUGCGUUGGAAUGGGCAAAGCGAUGAAUGCCUAUCAAGGAAACCUUGGAAAACGAUUACAACCACCCCUAACAGAUUAUUACGACACUUUCAAGAUUCAAGGAAAAGAUGGAAAUUAACUGCCUAUAAGCUUACCUAAUCAAUCAUAUAGCAGGAAAACUAGAAAUACAAUCGUUUAAUCACAAUGAAAAGUUAACCAUUUGGUAGAAUAACAGAAAAACCUCAAUUUGGCAAUUAAAUAGGAGUGCAGGACACUGUAGUUGUUGGGACCCAGACUAAAUUGAGUACCCUAACUAUACGUGGCAGUGACUUGGUCAAGUCUCUUGACAGCAAAAUAGUGUCUGCUUCAAAGAGUGCUUGCUGAGGCAUCCUGUGACAGCUAAACCAGUCUUCUGAGGGUUAAACCUGGUUUUCUGCUGCUUAUCUGUGUAUUGUAGAAUGCUUAUAGUUAAAAGAAAGAGUGUAAAAGGAAGCUGUUGUGGUUAUGCAUUUCCUGUAUUUUGUUAAUGCACUUUGCCAUAGCUUAAAGCCAGCUUCAUUAGCGAUGGCGCAGCUAAAAUUAAUCAUAUAAGGAAAACGCAAAGGAUUGUACUGCUAUUGGUCAGUCAUGUAAAGAAAGUUUGUAGUAUAAAACUAUAACUGGCUGCAAGCCAACAGCUAGCUCAAAAAAAAAAAAAAAAAAAUCUAUAAAUUUGCUGGCGCAUCCGGAAAUCGGCUGAAGGAAAACGCAACAUGGUAAAAGAAGCUAUCACUGUGAAAGAGAAGCAGCAGACCUGGCAUUCGGUGGGGCAGUAGGUCCUGAGAAGCCUGAAGACUAAAUACCAGGGUCCUUCCCAGUACCCCUUUGGACAGCGUAGAUUGGGGACACCUGACUUCGCUGGAUUUCGAGAGGCUUGUCAUAUACAAGGCAUAAAAGGGGACUGCCGAUAAGUUGCCGACUCGGAGAUUUACUGUCUGUCUUUGUUGUGUUGUUAAGCUUUGCAUAAUUACAUGUUUGUUAAAAUAACAAACCUUUCUUACCUUUUCACCCCGACCACUCUCUCAAUCCCGAACCAACCCACUGCAGGCAGCUGAGACAAUUAUAAGCCAUUCAUCCUAUCAUUUUAUGUUUGGGGUAAAAAUGACAGAAAGUAAAAUGAUUAGAGAGUUAACUUUAAACUGAAGGCUGCCAAUAACCUCCCCAGAAAAAGGGGGAACUUUUUGUUUUACACUUCCUUAUAGGAAAGCUGAUGAACUGCAAAGCCUUGUUAUCACCAAUAAAAUCAUCAGUGCCUUCUUCACUCAAGCAGUGGCUCUGAUACUAUGAUGAA